rnacentral:pre_miRNA from 1 species
GGGGGGGUGGGGUGGUCCUCAGCCCAGAUUGCGAGAGGGUGCAGACCAGGCCGAAGGACCCCAUCCGUGCAUG